rnacentral:rRNA from 1 species
GAUGAACGCUGGCGGCGUGCCUAAUACAUGCAAGUCGAACGCACAGACUUGGAGCUUGCUCUUCUUACGUUAGCGGCGGACGGGUGAGCAAUACGUGGAUAACCUACCUAUAACUCUGGGAUAACUUCGGGAAACCGGAGCUAAUACCGGAUAUUAUAUUCAACCGCAUGGUUCUAUGGUGAAAGACGGUUUUGCUGUUUCUUAUAGCUGACUCCGCGCCGCAUUAGCUAGUUGGUAAGGUCACGCCUUACCAAGGCCACGAUGCGUACCCGACCGGAUGGAGUGGUCGCCGACACUGGAGCGGAGACACGGACCCGACUCCUACGAGACGCAGCAGAAGGGAAUCUGCGGCAAUGGGCGAGAGCCUGACGGAGCGACGGCGCGCGAGUGAUGAAGGUCUUCGGAUCGGGAUACUCUGUUACUAGGGAAGAACAAAUGUGUAAGUAACUAUGCACGUCUUGACGGUACCUAAUCAGAAAGCCACGGCUAACUACGUG